rnacentral:rRNA from 1 species
AUGCAACGCUGCUUCCCUUCCCGGAGCACCCGGCGGCAGGCGCCUCAUCACGGCGGCGGCGUGACCGUCGUGUCCUGCGGCGAGGGCGAGGGCGGCGUCAAGAUCGUCGUGAGCAGGGACGAGCUGGAGCGCAUCGCCGCGGGCGUCAGCCGGAGGCAGUGCCGGCACCGGCACGUCGUGGUGCCGUCGGCGCCCGGGCCUCCGGUGGAGGAGGAGCAGUCGGCGCGGGCAGGGGUAGGAACCACCAAGCCCAACACCAUCAUCAUCCCCGUCCUCGCCAAGGAUUUCACAAGGUGGCCGCGCACCGGCACAGCAAUUUACCCUCUCUGCGCGCAGCCUCAGGAUGCCUCUCUUUCCAAGGAGGAGGAGGAGGACAAUGCUCUGUUGCUGUAA